AGAGUUUGAUCCUGGCUCAGAGUGAUCGCUGGCGGCGUGCUUAACACAUGCAAGUCGAGCGGUAUUUGACAGCGUAUCGUCGAAUAUAGCGGCAGACGGGUGAGUAAUAUUUGGGCAAUCUGCCCUUGAGUGGGGGACAACCUGCCGAAAGGCGGGCUAAUACCCCAUAAGACCACAGGGAUGCAUAUUCUAGGGGUCAA
rnacentral:rRNA from 1 species